rnacentral:rRNA from 1 species
AACUCCAGGACUGCCUGUGAUACUGGGAAGCGUGAGUGCGGGAGAGGUGAGUGGAACUGCGAGUGUAGAGGUGAAAUUCGUAGAUAUUCGCAAGAACACCAGUGGCGAAGGCGGCUCACUGGCCCGGUACUGACGCUGAGGUGCGAAAGCGUGGGGAGCAAACAG